rnacentral:rRNA from 1 species
AACGAACGCUGGCGGCAGGCCUAACACAUGCCAGUCGAGCGCCCCGCCAGGGGAGCGGCGGACGGGUGAGUAACGCGUGGGAAUAUGCCCUUUGCUACGGAAUAGCCUCGGGAAACUGGGGGUAAUACCGUAUACGCCCUUUGGGGGAAAGAUUUAUCGGCGAAGGAUCGGCCCGCGUUGGAUUAGGUAGUUGGUGGGGUAAUGGCCUACCAAGCCGACGAUCCAUAGCUGGUUUGAGAGGAUGAUCAGCCACACUGGGACUGAGACACGGCCCAGACUCCUACGGGAGGCAGCAGUGGGGAAUCUUAGACAAUGGGGGCAACCCUGAUCUAGCCAUGCCGCGUGAGUGAUGAAGGCCUUAGGGUUGUAAAGCUCUUUCAGCUGGGAAGAUAAUGACGGUACCAGCAGAAGAAGCCCCGGCUAACUCCGUG